UCUCCUUGGAAACCGGGUGGUAAUGCCGGAUGUUCCAGUUGAUCGCAUGGUCUUCUGGGAAAGCUUUCGCGGUAUGGGAUGGGGUCGCGUCCUAUCAGCUUGACGGCGGGGUAACGGCCCACCGUGGCUUCGACGGGUAGCCGGCCUGAGAGGGCGACCGGCCACAUUGGGACUGAGAUACGGCCCAGACUCCUACGGGAGGCAGCAGUGGGGAAUAUUGCACAAUGGGCGCAAGCCUGAUGCAGCGACGCCGCGUGAGGGAUGGAGGCCUUCGGGUUGUAAACCUCUUUUAUCGGGGAGCAAGCGUGAGUGAGUUUACCCGUUGAAUAAGCACCGGCUAACUACGUGCCAGCAGCCGCGGUAAUACGUAGGGUGCAAGCGUUAUCCGGAAUUAUUGGGCGUAAAGGGCUCGUAGGCGGUUCGUCGCGUCCGGUGUGAAAGUCCAUCGCUUAACGGUGGAUCCGCGCCGGGUACGGGCGGGCUUGAGUGCGGUAGGGGAGACUGGAAUUCCCGGUGUAACGGUGGAAUGUGUAGAUAUC
rnacentral:rRNA from 1 species